rnacentral:rRNA from 1 species
AGCAGCCGCGGUAAUUCCAGCUCCAAUAGCGUAUAUUAAAGUUGUUGCAGUUAAAAAGCUCGUAGUUGAAUUUCGGGGUUAGUAGGUCGGUCGUGCCACCGGUAUGUACUGGCUCUACUGAUCCCUCCUUCUUGUAGAACCGUAAUGCCAUUAACUUGGUGUUGCGGGGAAACAGGACUGUUACUUUGAAAAAAUUAGAGUGUUUAAAGCAGGCUAACGCUUGAAUACAUUAGCAUGGAAUAAUGAAAUAGGACGCUCGAUCCUAUUUUGUUGGUUUCUAGGAUUGACGUAAUGAUUAAUAGGGAUAGUUGGGGGCAUUAGUAUUCAAUUGUUAGAGGUGAAAUUCUUGGAUUUAUUGAAGACUAACUACUGCGAAAGCAUUUGCCAAGGAUGUUUUCAUUAAUCAAGAACGAAAGUUAGGGGAUCGAAGACGAUCAGAUACCGUCGUAGUCUUAACCAUAAACUAUGCCGACUAGGGAUCGGAUGAUGUUAAUUUUUUAAUGUACUCAUUCGGCGCCUUACGGGAAACCAAAGUGGUUUU